UCCGUAGGUGAACCUGCGGAGGGAUCAUUACUGAGUUUACGCUCUACAACCCUUUGUGAACAUACCUACAACUGUUGCUUCGGCGGGUAGGGUCUCCGCGACCCUCCCGGCCUCCCGCCUCCGGGCGGGUCGGCGCCCGCCGGAGGAUAACCAAACUCUGAUUUAACGACGUUUCUUCUGAGUGGUACAAGCAAAUAAUCAAAACUUUUAACAACGGAUCUCUUGGUUCUGGCAUCGAUGAAGAACGCAGCGAAAUGCGAUAAGUAAUGUGAAUUGCAGAAUUCAGUGAAUCAUCGAAUCUUUGAACGCACAUUGCGCCCGCCAGCAUUCUGGCGGGCAUGCCUGUUCGAGCGUCAUUUCAACCCUCAAGCUCUGCUUGGUGUUGGGGCCCUACAGCCGAUGUAGGCCCUCAAAGGUAGUGGCGGACCCUCCCGGAGCCUCCUUUGCGUAGUAACUUUACGUCUCGCACUGGGAUCCGGAGGGACUCUUGCCGUAAAACCCCCCAAUUUUCCAAAGGUUGACCUCGGAUCAGGUAGGAAUACCCGCUGAACUUAAGCAUAUCAAUAAGCGGAGG
rnacentral:rRNA from 1 species